rnacentral:lncRNA from 1 species
UGCGGAGUGGGACAAGUUCAGCCAUAUCCCGCAUGUCGAGGCUUAUGCAAAUGGCGAAGGCACUGAAAAGAGAUGGCACCUAUUUUACACAAGAGAGCCCUACAAAAUGGAGACAGAUGUGGAGGCAACUCGGCAGGUAUAAUAUCUAGUUCGAUUGCUCUAUCCAAUAUAAGUACCCUGCUCUUGUUGCUUCCAUCUUUGGGUUCUUCGUUUUUAUGCUAGAGCUAGUUGAAAAUAUGUUCCUGUGUUCAGUUUCGCUUGGCGGGGUUAAUCUGAGGAGGAACAUGAAGACGACACAGAAGACGCAAAUGAAGAUGAGAAAAGGGACGACGAUGAAGAGGACGGAGGUGACGAAAGCUGAAGCUGAGGACGGAGAUUUAUGUGUUGCCAGGAUAUGCAUGUCUCCACUUGCUGCCACUGCUGCUCUACUAGAUUUUCUCUGUGUUGAGCCUGUAUGGGUAUCUCCGUCGUGAAUUGUGAUUUUUACAUUUGUCAAAAGAGUGUAGUUUUAACCAGUAGUUAAGGGCCAAAAGUGUACAACUAUCAUUCAGAAUGCAUUCAACAAUCCAGUGUGUUGUUGGCUUCUCUGUUUCCCUGUAAGUGAGAUUUUCUUUUCUUUCUUUCUUCCCCUUUACAUAAUUUAUAUGCCCGUAUCUGCAGGCAGCUUCAUCAACCUCCUCUCUAGAUGGUUCACAUCAAGUGCAACCCCACGGAUUCUACAAAAUCUUGUAAGAAAGGUAAUUAGCUUCAACUCCUAAAGUUUUGAUUUGGAAAUGAAGCCAAAAGUAUGGUGGUGGUCCCUUUUCAGCUUGAUAUCUUGGUACCAAAUUGCAACACACAUCAAUACAUGACUUCCACUCAAGGACAUGCAGUCAUUUAUUAUCGG